rnacentral:rRNA from 1 species
UGAGUGAAAUAUUGGUCAUUGCGCUCACGCGAGAACCAGCCAAGUCGCGUGAGGGAAGACGGUCCUACGGAUGGUAAACCUCUUUUGUCGGGGAGUAACGUGCGGGACGCGUCCCGUAUGGAGAGUACCCGAAGAAAAGCAUCGGCUAACUCCGUG